GGUGUUGUAGCUCAUUGGUAGAGCGCUCACCUAGCACAGGUGAGGCAGUAGAUUCAAUCCUCAUCACCA
rnacentral:tRNA from 1 species